GACGAACGCUGGCGGCGUGCUUAACACAUGCAAGUCGUACGGUAAGGCCCUUUCGGGGGUACACGAGUGGCGAACGGGUGAGUAACACGUGAGUAACCUGCCCACAACUUUGGGAUAACGCUAGGAAACUGGUGCUAAUACUGGAUAUGUGCUCCUGCUGCAUGGUGGGGGUUGGAAAGCUCCGGCGGUUGUGGAUGGACUCGCGGCCUAUCAGCUUGUUGGUGGGGUAGUGGCCUACCAAGGCGGCGACGGGUAGCCGGCCUGAGAGGGUGACCGGCCACAUUGGGACUGAGAUACGGCCCAGACUCCUACGGGAGGCAGCAGUGGGGAAUAUUGCACAAUGGGCGCAAGCCUGAUACAGCAACGCCGCGUGCGGGAUGACGGCCUUCGGGUUGUAAACCGCUUUCAGCAGGGACGAAGCUUUUUGUGACGGUACCUGCAGAAGAAGCACCGGCUAACUACGUG
rnacentral:rRNA from 1 species